CUACGGGGGGCUGCAGUGGGGAAUAUUGGACAAUGGGCGAAAGCCUGAUCCAGCCAUGCCGCGUGUGUGAAGAAGGCCUUCGGGUUGUAAAGCACUUUCAGUGGGGAAGAAAGCCUUGGGGCUAAUACCCUCGAGGAAGGACAUCACCCACAGAAGAAGCACCGGCUAACUCCGUGCCAGCAGCCGCGGUAAUACGGAGGGUGCGAGCGUUAAUCGGAAUUACUGGGCGUAAAGCGCGCGUAGGCGGUCUGAUAAGCCGGUUGUGAAAGCCCCGGGCUCAACCUGGGAACGGCAUCCGGAACUGUCAGGCUAGAGUGCAGGAGAGGAAGGUAGAAUUCCCGGUGUAGCAGUGAAAUGCGUAGAGAUCGGGAGGAAUACCAGUGGCGAAGGCGGCCUUCUGGACUGACACUGACGCUGAGGUGCGAAAGCGUGGGUAGCAAACAGGAUUAGAUACCCCUGUAGUC
rnacentral:rRNA from 1 species